rnacentral:rRNA from 1 species
UACAGAGGUCUCAAGCGUUGUUCGGAUUCAUUGGGCGUAAAGGGUGCGUAGGUGGCGGGGUAAGUCAGGUGUGAAAUCUCGGAGCUCAACUCCGAAACUGCACUUGAUACUGCCUUGCUUGAGUACUGGAGAGGAGAUUGGAAUUUACGGUGUAGCAGUGAAAUGCGUAGAUAUCGUAAGGAAGACCAGUGGCGAAAGCGGCUUCCUGGACCAGUACCGACGUCGAGGCACGAAAGCGUGGGGAGCAAACAGG